rnacentral:rRNA from 1 species
CCUACGGGAGGCUGCAGUAGGGAAUUUUCGUCAAUGGGCGCAAGCCUGAACGAGCAAUGCCGCGUGAACGAGGAAGGUCUUCGGAUCGUAAAGUUCUGUUGACGGGGAAAAAGAGCGGAGAGAGGAAAUGGUCUCCGAUUGAUAUUACCCUUCGAGGAAGUCACGGCUAACUACGUGCCAGCAGCCGCGGUAAUACGUAGGUGGCGAGCGUUAUCCGGAAUGAUUGGGCGUAAAGGGUGCGUAGGCGGCCUGCUAAGUCUGGAGUGAAAGGUACCGGCUCAACCGGUACAGGCUCUGGAAACUGGCGGGCUAGAGAGCAGGAGAGGGCGGUGGAACUCCAUGUGUAGCGGUAAAAUGCGUAGAUAUAGGGAAGAACACCAGUGGCGAAGGCGGCCGCCUGGCCUGUGACUGACGCUGAGGCACGAAAGCGUGGGGAGCAAAUAGGAUUAGAUACCCGAGUAGUC